UACGUAGGGUGCAAGCGUUGUCCGGAAUUAUUGGGCGUAAAGAGCUCGUAGGCGGCUUGUCGCGUCGACUGUGAAAUCCCGGGGCUCAACCCCGGGUCUGCAUUCGAUACGGGCAGACUAGAGUUCGGUAGGGGAGUCUGGAAUUCCUGGUGUAGCGGUGAAAUGCGCAGAUAUCAGGAGGAACACCGGUGGCGAAGGCGGGACUCUGGGCCGAUACUGACGCUGAGGAGCGAAAGCGUGGGGAGCAAACAGG
rnacentral:rRNA from 1 species